rnacentral:rRNA from 1 species
UACGUAGGGUGCAAGCGUUAAUCGGAAUUACUGGGCGUAAAGCGUGCGCAGGCGGUUGUGCAAGACCGAUGUGAAAUCCCCGGGCUUAACCUGGGAAUGGCAUUGGUGACUGUACGGCUAGAGUGUGUCAGAGGGGGGUAGAAUUCCACGUGUAGCAGUGAAAUGCGUAGAGAUGUGGAGGAAUACCGAUGGCGAAGGCAGCCCCCUGGGUCAAUACUGACGCUCAUGCACGAAAGCGUGGGGAGCAAACAGG